UACGGAAGGCAGCAGGGGGAAUAUUGCACAAUGGGCGAAAGCCUGAUGCAGCUAUGCCGCGUGUAUGAAGAAGGCCUUAGGGUUGUAAAGUACUUUCAUCGGGGAGGAAAAAACAAAACUAAUAAUUUUAUUUCUUGACGUUACCCGAAAAAGAAGCACCGGCUAACUCCGUGCCAGCAGCCGCGGUAAUACGGAGGGUGCUAGCGUUAAUCAGAAUUACUGGGCGUAAAGAGCACGUAGGUGGUUUUUUUAAAGUUCAGAUGUGAAAUCCCUGGGCUUAACCUAGGAACUGCAUUUUGAAACUGAAAUACUAGAGUAUCGUAGAGGGAGGUAGAAUUCUAGGUGUAGCGGUGAAAUGCGUAGAUAUCUGGAGGAAUACCUGUGGCGAAAGCGGCCUCCUAAACCGAAUAACUGACACUGAGGGUGCGAAAGCGUGGGGAGCAAACAGGGAUUAGAUACC
rnacentral:rRNA from 1 species